rnacentral:rRNA from 1 species
GACGAACGCUGGCGGCGUGCCUAAUACAUGCAAGUCGAACGAAGCUUUUUUAACUGGUGCUUGCACCGACUUAAACAACUGAGUGGCGAACGGGUGAGUAACACGUGGGUAACCUGCCCCAAAGCGGGGGAUAACAUUUGGAAACAGAUGCUAAUACCGCAUAACCACAGAAACCACAUGGUUUCUGUGUCAGAGAUGGUUUCGGCUAUCACUUUGGGAUGGACCCGCGGCGUAUUAGCUAGUUGGUAAGGUAAUGGCUUACCAAGGCAAUGAGACGUAGCCGAGCGGGGAGGUGGUUCGGCCACAUUGGGACUGAGACACGGCCCAAACUCCUACGGGAGGCAGCAGUAGGGAAUCUUCCACAAUGGACGAAAGUCUGAUGGAGCAACGCCGCGUGAGUGAAGAAGGUUUUCGGAUCGUAAAACUCUGUUGUCAGAGAAGAACGUGUGCGAGAGUAACUGUUCGUGCAGUGACGGUAUCUGGCCAGAAAGCCACGGCUAACUACGUGCCAGCCGCCGCAGUAA